AACAACAACAGUAGCAGCUGCCGGCUCUCCAGACCUGGAGUCAGCUCCUGCAGCAACUAGGGAGCUCUCAGUCUGCAGGGGCCUGGAUGCUGGGGGGCGGG
rnacentral:pre_miRNA from 1 species